rnacentral:rRNA from 1 species
UACGAAGGGGGCUAGCGUUGCUCGGAUUGACUGGGCGUAAAGGGCGCGUAGGCGGUUUGCACAGUCAGACGUGAAAUUCCUGGGCUUAACCUGGGGGCUGCGUUUGAUACGUGCAGGCUUGAGUUCGGAAGAGGGUCGUGGAAUUCCCAGUGUAGAGGUGAAUUCGUAGAUAUUGGGAAGAACACCGGUGGCGAAGGCGGCGACCUGGCCGAUACUGACGCUGAGGCGC